AAAGUCAUUUGAUGGUGGCUCAAGGUCAUUGGACAGGGGAAAAAACCUUCUGAAUGGCACAGGUCCAAAUUUCAACAGCAGCAAGUCGUGUGAUGGAACCAAAGACAAUGAGACUGAGAAUAGUUCCUGGAAAGCAAGUCAAGUUGAAAAAAGCAAUGACACACAAGUGACAGAAACAGAAGACACUAUACCUGGAAUAUUAUAUGAUUUGCUGCAAAAGGAAGUAGUUGCUUUGAGGAAAGCAGGUCAUGAGAAGGAUCAGAGUCUUAAAGACAAGGAUGACGCCAUUGAGAUGUUAGCUAAGAAAGUGGAGACUUUAACAAAAGCCAUGGAGGUUGAGGCUAAAAAAAUGAGAAGGGAGGUUGCUGCCAUG
rnacentral:misc_RNA from 1 species